GGUUGUAUAGUGUAGUGGUUAUCACCUUGGAUUCUGACGAAAGCUCAGCUAACUUCCAGUAACCCCGGUUCGAGUCCGGGUACGACCU
rnacentral:tRNA from 2 species